GAUAGAAAUAUUAAUUUAGUAAUAGGCAUAUUUUAGGACCUACACAUUGCAAGGUCUUCAUUCGAGCAGGCUCGCUUCAAUCUGGUCACAAUUCUUUCUAAUGUCGAGGCCAAGAAGAGGUUUGAGUUUUUGGAAGCUGUUAAUGGGGUAAUGGAUGCUCACCUUAUUCGUUAUUUCAAACAAGGAUAUGAGCUAUUGCAUCAGAUGGAGCCAUAUGUCCACUAGGUCUGUUUUUGUUUAUGAAUUGCCAUAGAAAGUGUAGGGUGCUUAAUUUAGCAACAUGAGUUAGUGCAUAGACUAGAUGUGAUCUACAUUCUUCUGGUCAGUUAGAAGACUUUAUGGCACAGGUAAAGGGUCUCUUAUCUAGGAAUCAUCCAUAUAAAAUGAUUAUGAACCUCAAUAUUUUUCAUCAUCGCCUAAAACCAAGCUCUUGGUUAUCCAAGAAAAGAAAUCAUUGCAGGGGUAGCCUUUCAAUUUUUUUAAAAUU